GAUGAACGCUGGCGGCGUGCCUAAUACAUGCAAGUAGAACGCUGAAGGAGGAGCUUGCUCUUCUGGAUGAGUUGCGAACGGGUGAGUAACGCGUAGGUAACCUGCCUGGUAGCGGGGGAUAACUAUUGGAAACGAUAGCUAAUACCGCAUGACAACAGUUAUUGCAUGAUAACUGUUUAAAAGGGGCAACUGCUCCACUACCAGAUGGACCUGCGUUGUAUUAGCUAGUUGGUGAGGUAACGGCUCACCAAGGCGACGAUACAUAGCCGACCUGAGAGGGUGAUCGGCCACACUGGGACUGAGACACGGCCCAGACUCCUACGGGAGGCAGCAGUAGGGAAUCUUCGGCAAUGGACGGAAGUCUGACCGAGCAACGCCGCGGGAGUGAAGAAGGGUUUCGGAUCGGAAAGCUCUGUUGUAAGAGAAGAACGAGUGUGAGAGUGGAAAGUUCACACUGUGACGGUAUCUAACCAGAAAGGGACGGCUAACUACGUG
rnacentral:rRNA from 1 species